AGAAAAACUAAAUAUAGGAUCCAAAAAAUGCCCAUUUGCCCCCCCGUCAAUCUCUUCCUCUUUCUCUCUGGCGGCUUCCCUCCUCCUCCGCCUCCUCCUCCGCCUCCGACGCCGCCUCCGACGCGGCAUCACCCUCUCCCUCAUCAUCUCCCUCUGCGAUCGCGGAGUCAAUCUCUUCCUCUCUCUCUCGCGGCUGAGUUCUCAUUGAUCCCUCCUCCUCCGCCUCCUCCUCUGCCUCCGACGCCGCCUCCGACGCCGCCUCCGACCCGGCAUCACCCUCUCCCUCAUCAUCUCCCUCUGCGAUCGCGGAGUCAAUCCCGAAGCCCUAGCCGCCCUCGUCCGCGAUCUCUCUUGUUGCAUUUGGAGCUGAAGUUGCUGUUGUUGCUGAUGCAAUUCUUGUUGCUGCUGCAGCUGUUGAAGAUGAUGUUGCUCCUCUAACUGAAGUUUCAAAAAUUGCUCCAACUCUGGCAUAUACUGGUUAACUGACUGUUGAUGCUGCAGAGAACCUUGAAUUUGUUCAAUAAAUGGCACAGACGAAUUCUGACGAGAAAGCAAGCGCUGCUGCUGAAGCUGUUGUUGCUGUUGUUGCUGUUGUUGUUGCUGCUGCUGAAGUUGCUGAAGCUGCUGCUGCCGAAGCAGUUGUUGUUGCUGCUGCUGCUGCUGAAGCUGUGAUUUUGGUUGAUUUUGGUUGAUUCUGUAAUAUGUUUAUACUGUUUCCUUGCGUUGUGAUUAUUGUCAGUCGCAGCAUUGUCAAUUUGGGGGCUAAGAUUUACUUUCUCGUAAAAUCCCUCCCUUUUGAUCUUUGUUUCCUGGUCUUUUCUUUCUUCUGUCAUGAUCAUGUUCAUGCCUGAACAUUUGAAAGAUGAGAAAUAAGUAGACUAUGGUUGUGCUACUAUUUUGUUUAUAGACGAACUUACUACUCUUCUAGUUUAUCAAGUAAUUAAGUAGAUUGUCCUUACUAAUCGUGAUCGUGUUGCUGAUAGUUAUGAUGGCGUUUAUAUCAA